AGCGGAUGAGCCGACAAAGAAGAGACACAAAUGUAAAAGAUGCAACCAAUUUGGGCACCAUGCUAAGUCUUGCAAAAAUCCUAUGCCUUCUACCGCAGAGCCUUCAUCUCAAGCUGAUGGUGGAUCACAUGCAACAUUCAACUCUACAAAUUAUAAUUCCUCAACCCAAUCUAGGCAGGGAGUCCAUGUAAGCAAUGAAAAAAAUUCAACAUUACCAGCUUAUUGCAGCUACCAUGAUCCAAGUAAAAGAGGCAGGAAAAGAGCAACAUACACCCAACCACUUGCUGGAACCAAUAGCAUUGAAGGGCUUACAUCUCCUGAAGUACAAAUGACAAAUCUUGCAUCUAGUAGUGAAGCUAUACCCAUUGAAGGAGCUACAACCACUGGAGAAACAACAACUACAGAUUGGGAUGCCGUCCUAUUUUUCAGUUCCUAAGUUUAUACAUGUUAUAUAGAAAUGGCUCUUUUUUAAAGUUAAACAUGCACCUUUUUGCAAGGCGUAGGCUGCUAUUUUGUUGCACAUAUGCUUUUAGGAUUAGAUUGUAAUGAUUUGGUAUAUAUUCUAAGACAUAUUGUUAUCAUUUUGAGAUGA